CCUACGGGGGGCUGCAGUGGGGAAUAUUGCACAAUGGGGGAAACCCUGAUGCAGCGACGCCGCGUGAAGGAAGAAGUAUCUCGGUAUGUAAACUUCUAUCAGCAGGGAAGAUAGUGACGGUACCUGACUAAGAAGCCCCGGCUAACUACGUGCCAGCAGCCGCGGUAAUACGUAGGGGGCAAGCGUUAUCCGGAUUUACUGGGUGUAAAGGGAGCGUAGACGGUGUGGCAAGUCUGAUGUGAAAGGCAUGGGCUCAACCUGUGGACUGCAUUGGAAACUGUCAUACUUGAGUGCCGGAGGGGUAAGCGGAAUUCCUAGUGUAGCGGUGAAAUGCGUAGAUAUUAGGAGGAACACCAGUGGCGAAGGCGGCUUACUGGACGGUAACUGACGUUGAGGCUCGAAAGCGUGGGGAGCAAACAGGAUUAGAUACCCCAGUAGUC
rnacentral:rRNA from 1 species